GUCCGAUGUGAAAACCCUUGGCUUAACCGAAGGAGUGCAUCGGAAACCGGGCGACUUGAGUGCAGAAGAGGACAGUGGAACUCCAUGUGUAGCGGUGGAAUGCGUAGAUAUAUGGAAGAACACCAGUGGCGAAGGCGGCUGUCUGGUCUGCAACUGACGCUGAGGCUCGAAAGCAUGGGUAGCGAAC
rnacentral:rRNA from 1 species